rnacentral:rRNA from 1 species
ACUAAUGAGAGUUUGAUCCUGGCUCAGGAUGAACGCUGGCGGUAUGCUUUACACAUGCAAGUCUAACGAGAAUAUAUCUAUAUUUAUAUUUAUAUAUUCUAGUGGCGGACGGGUGAGUAACACGUGAGAACCUACCUUUAGGAAGGGGAUAACAAAUGGAAACGUUUGCUAAUACCCUAUAUGCCCACUGGGUGAAAGGAAGCAAUUCGCCUAAUGAAGGGCUCGCGGCUGAUUAGCUUGUUGGUGAGGUAAUGGCUCACCAAGGCGACGAUCAGUAACUGGUUUGAGAGGAUGACCAGUCACACUGGAACUGAGAUACGGUCCAGACUCCUACGGGAGGCAGCAGUGAGGAAUUUUCUGCAAUGGGCGAAAGCCUGACAGAGCAAUACCGCGUGGAGGAUUAAGAUCUAUGGGAUUGUAAACUUCUUUUGUCAAGGAGGAAGAUCUGACGUUACUUGACGAAUAAGCAUCGGCUAACUCCGUGCCAGCAGCCGCGGUAAUACGGGGGAUGCAAGUGUUAUCCGGAUUGACUGGGCGUAAAGCGUCCGUAGGUGGUUUAGAAAGUCCGCUGUUAAAUAUCAAAGCUCAACUUUGAAUCAGCAGUAGAUACUACUAAACUAGAGUAUAGUAGAGGUAAAGGGAAUUUCCGGUGAAGCGGUGAAAUGUGUAGAUAUCGGAAAGAACACCAAUGGCGAAGGCACUUUACUGGGCUAUUACUGACACUGAGGGACGAAAGCUAGGGGAGCAAAUGGGAUUAGAUACCCCAGUAGUCCUAGCCGUAAACGAUGGAUACUAAAUGUCGCAUGUAUCGACCCAUGCGGUGUUAUAGCUAACGCGUUAAGUAUCCCGCCUGGGAAGUAUGCUCGCAAGGGUGAAACUCAAAGGAAUUGACGGGGGCCCGCACAAGCGGUGGAGCAUGUGGUUUAAUUUGAUGCAACGCGAAGAACCUUACCAGAGUUUGACAUAACACGAAUCUCUUUUAAUUUAGAGAGUAUCUUUAUGAAACGUGUAUACAGGUGGUGCAUGGCUGUCGUCAGCUCGUGUCGUGAGAUGUUGGGUUAAGUCCCGCAACGAGCGCAACCCUUGUUUUUAGUUGCCAUUUAUGGAUCUCUAGAAAGACUGCCGGUGAUAAACUGGAGGAAGGUGAGGACGAGGUCAAGUCAUCAUGCCCCUUAUACUCUGGGCUACACACGUGCUACAUUGGAUAGGACAAAGCGAAGCAAUCUUGCGAAAGGGAGCAAAUCGCUAAACUUAUUCUAAGUUCGGAUUGUAGGCUGCAACUCGCCUACAUGAAGGUGGAAUCGCUAGUAAUCGCUGGUCAGCAAUACAGCGGUGAAUCCGUUCUCGGGCCUUGUACACACCGCCCGUCACACCAUGGAAGCGGGUCUUACCCGAAAUCGUUACUCUAACUUUUUGAGGAGGGCGCCUAAGGUGAAAUUCGUGACUAGGGUGAAGUCGUAACAAGGUAGCUGUACUGGAAGGUGCGGCUGGACCACCUCCUUA